AUCAGACCCUGGGGAAUGCAACGUCGGACCUGGAGGCCUUCUACCUGGCUAGCUGGAUGGGUUAUGGGGGUUCUGUGAACUUCGAUCCUCCCACCUCAGCCUCCAGAGUAGAUGGGACAAUGGGCAUAUGCCACUAUGCCCUGGCUAAUUGUUUAUUUUUUUGUAGAGAUGGGGAUCUUGCUAUGUUGCGCAGGCUGGUCCUGAACUUGUGGCCUCAAGUAAUCCUCCUGCCUCCAUCUCCCAAAGUGCUGGGAUUACAGGCACAAGCCACCGUGCCCGGCCAGUUUCCUCAAUUUUUAAAGUGGGGGCCCACCUCAUGGGGCUGCUGUGAGAAUUAAGUGAAAAAAUCAAUGCAAAGUCCUUUGGACAGUCUCUAGGCAAUAACUACUGUUAGUAUCUGAUCUGGAAUACGGAUCUGGGGGUUUUCAGCAUGGAGGUGCUCAGCAAAGCCCAUCAGUGUAUUUCAAGCCAUGGGAGUGGACGAGAUGGCCCAGCACAGGCAGGAAGGAUGGACCCAGGGUGACUCCCAAGAACACUGAUGUUUAAUUGAUGGGCAGAAGAGGGGUGCAAAGAGCUGGUGAGGCAGAAGACAAACAGAGCACAGGUCAAGCAGCCGGGGCCAGAGAACAUUCCAGAAAAAGCAUACAACAGCGUUAAGGGCUGUAAGAUAAGAACGGUAAGAUAAGUGUAAGAUAAGGACGGAAAACACAUGCCUUGGGUUUAGUGACCAGGAGGGGCAGGGCACAGGGAGGGAGUUUCAGAGGGCUGCAGGACUGCGAGGAGUAGGUGGCCUGGGCUGGGUCUCCUCACAGCAGCAAAGCUCGGGGACAACAGAAAUCACGGCAGACAGCACUGUGAGCCGCGGUCUCAUCUCUGACUAGUCCACGAGAGCUGAGGCUUAGGGCAGGGCCUGCGACAGAGCUAGAUGGUGGUGUGUUAUAGAAACGACAAGGCAGGGGUUUCUGUCACCGGGAGAGCUCAGCCACGUUCAGGGCUACCUUGGCGUGGGCACGGUCACUGCUUCCGUCUCAUUUUCUUCCAGCAACUUCGUGUACGACGACGGGAACCAACCCCUCCUACCGGCAAAGAGGGAGAAAAGACCCUAUCAGCAGUAGACACGUGGACGGCAACCUCCCUGAACAACCUGGUGAGAGCUCAGGGCAGACAGGUCCACUGCUCCAGAAACGCCCACGUGUGGAGGAAAUGAAAUUAAGACUUUUAAUAGACAGUUUGCAGCUUGGCUGCUCUGGAAGGGAGGGGCCGUCUGGAGCCCUGCGGGGACCAUCACGCCCAGACUUACGCCUUGGACACGUCGUGUUCUCCAUAGAGCCAGCCAUCCUUCUCCUCGGGGAUGAGCAGCGUGAUGACAUCUCCCUGUGCAAAGCUGAGUAAGGUCUUGUUGGAGCCCGCAGUGUGCGGGAAGAUGGUCUUCACUUUCUGCUUCUUCAUCAUGUUCAGUCCCGUUGCAACCGAAACUGAUCGCUGUAAACUGGGAUCUUCAGAAGUACCUGUUGAAGGGAGUGUAGCAGUAAUGGCUUUUCAAAGCAUGAGAAUCAAUAGGCACAUUCCAAUAAGCAAACCCCAGGAAUCCACCUGUUCUCAUCUUGCCAACAACGCUCCUUCCACGGAAACUGACCCUGUCCUAUUUCCUCGCUUUGAUCAUUGCCCAGAAGGGACAGGGACUGUUGAGAAACAGAGGCAGCGUGCAGCCUGAAGGCAUGCACCGUGCAGAAGAGGAUCCCUGCGGCUGCGGGCUCUUUUCCAGGCCCAAGGACAAGGCAGUGUGUGCCGGGCAGUGUGUGCACUGCUUUAGCCAGGAUGGCUCUUCUUAGAGAGGCAAACCGCUCCAACGCCAAACUGCCCUCGCAAUUCCAAUCGCAAAGGCAGGCUAGGGCCACAGUUCAAACCCAACUGCCA
rnacentral:lncRNA from 1 species